rnacentral:rRNA from 1 species
UACGUAGGGGGCAAGCGUUAUUCGGAAUUAUUGGGCGUAAAGCGCGCGCAGGCGGUUUCUUAAGUCUGAUGUGAAAGCCCACGGCUCAACCGUGGAGGGUCAUUGGAAACUGGGAGGCUUGAGUGCAGAAGAGGAAAGUGGAAUUCCAUGUGUAGCGGUGAAAUGCGUAGAGAUAUGGAGGAACACCAGUGGCGAAGGCGACUUUCUGGUCUGUAACUGACGCUGAGGCGCGAAAGCGUGGGGAGCAAACAGG